CAGUCGCCGCGGUAAUACAGAGGGUGCGAGCGUUAAUCGGAUUUACUGGGCGUAAAGCGUGCGUAGGCGGCUUCUUAAGUCGGAUGUGAAAUCCCUGAGCUUAACUUAGGAAUUGCAUUCGAUACUGGGAAGCUAGAGUAUGGGAGAGGAUGGUAAAAUUCCAGGUGUAGCGGUGAAAUGCGUAGAGAUCUGGAGGAAUACCGAUGGCGAAGGCAGCCAUCUGGCCUAAUACUGACGCUGAGGUACGAAAGCAUGGGGAGCAAACAGGAUUAGAUACCCGGGUAGUCCCUGUCUCUUAUAC
rnacentral:rRNA from 1 species